UGCCAGCCGCCGCGGUAAUACGGAGGGUGCAAGCGUUGUCCGGAUUUACUGGGUGUAAAGGGUGUGUAGGUGGAAUGACAAGUCAGUGGUGAAAGCCUACGGCUCAACCGUAGAACUGCCAUUGAUACUGUCGUUCUUGAGUACUGGAGAGGUUACUAGAAUUCGUGGUGUAGCGGUGAAAUGCGUAGAUAUCACGAGGAAUACCAGAGGCGUAGGCGGGUAACUGGACAGAUACUGACACUGAGGCACGAAAGCGUGGGGAGCAAACAGGAUUAGAUA
rnacentral:rRNA from 1 species